rnacentral:rRNA from 1 species
GCCCGGAGAUAGCUGGUUCUCCCCGAAAUAGCUUUAGGGCUAGCCUCAAGGUGAGAGAUACGGAGGUAGAGCACUGAAUGUCCUAGGGGGUAUUGCACCUACCGAAGACUAUCAAACUCCGAAUGCCGUCAUCUUAUACUUGGGAGUCAGACUGUGGGUGAUAAGAUUCAUAGUCGAAAGGGCAACAGCCCAGAUCGUCAGCUAAGGUCCCUAAAUGUAAGUUAAGUGGUAAAGGAUGUGGGAUUGCACAGACAACCAGGAUGUUGGCUUAGAAGCAGCCACUCAUUCAAAGAGUGCGUAAUAGCUCACUGGUCGAGUGAUCCUGCGCCGAAGAUUUCCGGGGCUAAAACUUACUACCGAAGCUACGGCAUCAGUAAUGAUGGGUAGGGGAGCUUCCCAUACGGGUUGAAGCAUGACCGUAAGGACAUGUGGACAGUAUGGGAGUGAGAAUGUUGGCAUGAGUAGCGAGAUGUGGGUGAGAAUCCCACAGGCCGUAAACCCAAGGU